rnacentral:rRNA from 1 species
UGCACGCGCGCUACACUGACAGAGACAACGAGUGGUGCCCCUUGUCCGAAAUGACUGGGUAAACUUGUGAAACUUUGUCGUGCUGGGGAUGGAGCUUUGUAAUUUUUGCUCUUCAACGAGGAAUUCCUAGUAAGCGCAAGUCAUCAGCUUGCGUUGACUACGUCCCUGCCCUUUGUACACACCGCCCGUCGCUACUACCGAUUGAAUGGCUUAGUGAGGACUUGGGAGAGUACAUCGGGGAGCCAGCAAUGGCACCCUGACGGCUCAAACUCUUACAAACUUGGUCAUUUAGAGGAAGUAAAAGUCGUAACAAGGUAUCUGUAGGUGAACCUGCAGAUGGAUCAUUUCGAUGAAAACCUUUUUUCUUGAGGUGUGGCUCGCACCUGUCCAACUAAACUUGAGCUACCUUUUUUCAACACGGUUGCAUCGGUUGGCCUGUCAAACAGUGCGGAUUUUCCGCAGUGGGCGACGGACCGACACUUAAUCAACACUUUUGAUGAUCUAGGAUUUGAAUGAUAAAAGUUCAUUUUUACAAAUGGAAUCGACUGGUAAUGCGGUCGUCUAAUUUUAAAAACAACUUUUGGCAACGGAUCUCUUGGUUCUCCCAUCGAUGAAGAACGCAGCGAAUUGCGAUAAGUAAUGUGAAUUGCAGAAGUGAAUCAUCGAAUCUUUGAACGCACCUUGCGCUCCCGCAGAUCUAAUCUGGGGAGCAUGCCUGUUUGAGGGCCCCAAAUUGUUUCCAACAACACUUUUUUUUUAACAAAAAAAAUUGGGGGAAUCG